CUUGAUUAUCCAGUUUUCGAGAACUCACAAGAGGAUGGAACAGUCUCUUUCUUCGCUGUCAUUUCUUGUCCUCGUUUCCCUGUGUAAAGCGCUGACCAUUAAUGACAUUUGCACUAAUGGAAGGCCAUGCCCUGAAUACACUUUGGUUGCAUUGAAUGAGGAUUUUGAAAGCCGUUUGUAUGUUGAAACCCGUUGGAUUACCACUAAAAUAAAAGAUGAUCAGAUAAUUGACGUGAUCGCUGCACAUAACAGAUUGAAAAAUUUCUGCGACAGACAGAAGGCUAAAGGUUUUCCGAUGCCUAACAGCUGGCCUGUCCUGAUCACAUUCACUGAAGGUGCAAAUGCAAACAUGUCUUGGUUUGUGCCAAAUGAAACAGAAGUGGCUCUUACCAGUGACACAGAUGUGGUAUUGCAAACAAGACCUCGGGGUACUGUUUAUGUCAAAAAAUUCCGGGAAAGACCAAGCAAGCAGACAGGCCAAGAAAAUAAAGACAAGCUGCAAGAAGCCUUGAGACAAGCUGGGAAGCCCUUUGUUAACAGCCGCUACUCUGGAGCUGGUUACACUUCCUAUUAUGCUUUGCAGCAGUACAAUGAAAUUUGGAUGACUGCUCUCUAAAUGCCAUAAACAUCCUCAUCCUUAUCUGUUUAUUGCGAACCUGCUGUUGUUCUUCUGAACCUAUCUUCUGAAUCAAGAUCAUAUUUGGCAAAUUAGUCACAUUUCUGAACAGACAUCUAAGAAACAAUAAAAUAGUCCAAAUCAACUAUUUUUGCAUUUGCAAUCAACUUGAAUGGAGUGGAUAUUUAGAAAAUUGCAAGAAAAAAGGGUGGUAAAUCGUAUAAUUUUAAUCUUAAAUUCAUUUAAGUCAGCCAAGUCUUAUAUGGGCUGAUUCAAUGAAUAUAGUAGUCCUAAUCUUCACUGAGCCGACCCGAUCCCUUACAUGCUGCCCGAUCUUGGACGCUUAGGAGGGUCGGUCCUGGUUAGUACUUGGAUGGGAGACCGCCAAAAAAUACCAAAUGCUGGGGUUGGGCAGUGGGCCAAUCACCUGCACCCGUAAAAAAAAUAUAUAUAUAGAUGACUGAAACCGGAAUUGCGGCCUAAUGUGCCCCAUGGCAUUGAGAGCUCGAACUAACUAACUCAUCUUCACUGAUGUUUUGUAUAAUUCUGUAUAUACAUAUAUGUGAACCAAGUUUAAAUGACUUUAAAAACACCCUGACUUUCCUCAGACAAUAAACCUGUGCGUGUG